rnacentral:tRNA from 1 species
GAGGGUAUAGCUCAGUGGUAGAGCACAUGCUUAGCAUGCAUGAGGUCCUGGGUUCAAUCCUCAGUACUGUCA